CGUUGCCCUAUCGUUAACUGAAUACAUAGGUUAACGAGGCGAACCGGGGGAACUGAAACAUCUAAGUACCCCGAGGAAAAGAAAUCAACCGAGAUUCCCCCAGUAGCGGCGAGCGAACGGGGAGCAGCCCAGAGUCUGAAUCAGCUUGUGUGUUAGUGGAACGGUCUGGAAAGUCCGACGGUACAGGGUGAUAGUCCCGUACACCAAAAUGCACAGGUUGUGAACUCGAAGAGUAGGGCGGGACACGUGGUAUCCUGUCUGAAUAUGGGGGGACCAUCCUCCAAGGCUAAAUACUCCUGACUGACCGAUAGUGAACCAGUACCGUGAGGGAAAGGCGAAAAGAACCCCGGCGAGGGGAGUGAAAAAGAACCUGAAACCGUGUACGUACAAGCAGUGGGAGCACCUUCGGGUGUGACUGCGUACCUUUUGUAUAAUGGGUCAGCGACUUAUAUUCUGUAGCAAGGUUAACCGUAUAGGGGAGCCGCAGGGAAACCGAGUCUUAACUGGGCGUUAAGUUGCAGGGUAUAGACCCGAAACCCGGUGAUCUAGCCAUGGGCAGGUUGAAGGUUGGGUAACACUAACUGGAGGACCGAACCGACUAAUGUUGAAAAAUUAGCGGAUGACUUGUGGCUGGGGGUGAAAGGCCAAUCAAACCGGGAGAUAGCUGGUUCUCCCCGAAAGCUAUUUAGGUAGCGCCUCGUGAACUCAUCUUCGGGGGUAGAGCACUGUUUCGGCUAGGGGGUCAUCCCGACUUACCAACCCGAUGCAAACUACGAAUACCGAAGAAUGUUAUCACGGGAGACACACGGCGGGUGCUAACGUCCGUCGUGAAGAGGGAAACAACCCAGACCGCCAGCUAAGGUCCCAAAGUCAUGGUUAAGUGGGAAACGAUGUGGGAAGGCACAGACAGCCAGGAUGUUGGCUUAGAAGCAGCCAUCAUUUAAAGAAAGCGUAAUAGCUCACUGGUCGAGUCGGCCUGCGCGGAAGAUGUAACGGGGCUAAACCAUGCACCGAAGCUGCGGCAGCGACACUAUGUGUUGUUGGGUAGGGGAGCGUUCUGUAAGCCUGCGAAGGUGUGCUGUGAGGCAUGCUGGAGGUAUCAGAAGUGCGAAUGCUGACAUAAGUAACGAUAAAGCGGGUGAAAAGCCCGCUCGCCGGAAGACCAAGGGUUCCUGUCCAACGUUAAUCGGGGCAGGGUGAGUCGACCCCUAAGGCGAGGCCGAAAGGCGUAGUCGAUGGGAAACAGGUUAAUAUUCCUGUACUUGGUGUUACUGCGAAGGGGGGACGGAGAAGGCUAUGUUAGCCGGGCGACGGUUGUCCCGGUUUAAGCAUGUAGGCUGAUUGUCCAGGCAAAUCCGGAUAAUCAAGGCUGAGGUGUGAUGACGAGGCACUACGGUGCUGAAGUAACAAAUGCCCUGCUUCCAGGAAAAGCCUCUAAGCAUCAGGUAACAUUAAAUCGUACCCCAAACCGACACAGGUGGUCAGGUAGAGAAUACCAAGGCGCUUGAGAGAACUCGGGUGAAGGAACUAGGCAAAAUGGUGCCGUAACUUCGGGAGAAGGCACGCUGGUGUGUAGGUGAAGUCCCUGCGGAUGGAGCUGAGACCAGUCGAAGAUACCAGCUGGCUGCAACUGUUUAUUAAAAACACAGCACUGUGCAAACACGAAAGUGGACGUAUACGGUGUGACGCCUGCCCGGUGCCGGAAGGUUAAUUGAUGGGGUUAUCCGUAAGGAGAAGCUCUUGAUCGAAGCCCCGGUAAACGGCGGCCGUAACUAUAACGGUCCUAAGGUAGCGAAAUUCCUUGUCGGGUAAGUUCCGACCUGCACGAAUGGCGUAAUGAUGGCCAGGCUGUCUCCACCCGAGACUCAGUGAAAUUGAACUCGCUGUGAAGAUGCAGUGUACCCGCGGCAAGACGGAAAGACCCCGUGAACCUUUACUAUAGCUUGACACUGAACAUUGAGCCUUGAUGUGUAGGAUAGGUGGGAGGCUUUGAAGCGUGGACGCCAGUCUGCGUGGAGCCAACCUUGAAAUACCACCCUUUAAUGUUUGAUGUUCUAACGUUGGCCCCUGACCGGGGUUGCGGACAGUGUCUGGUGGGUAGUUUGACUGGGGCGGUCUCCUCCCAAAGCGUAACGGAGGAGCACGAAGGUUAGCUAAUCCUGGUCGGACAUCAGGAGGUUAGUGCAAUGGCAUAAGCUAGCUUGACUGCGAGCGUGACGGCGCGAGCAGGUGCGAAAGCAGGUCAUAGUGAUCCGGUGGUUCUGAAUGGAAGGGCCAUCGCUCAACGGAUAAAAGGUACUCCGGGGAUAACAGGCUGAUACCGCCCAAGAGUUCAUAUCGACGGCGGUGUUUGGCACCUCGAUGUCGGCUCAUCACAUCCUGGGGCUGAAGUAGGUCCCAAGGGUAUGGCUGUUCGCCAUUUAAAGUGGUACGCGAGCUGGGUUUAGAACGUCGUGAGACAGUUCGGUCCCUAUCUGCCGUGGGCGCUGGAGAAUUGAGGGGGGCUGCUCCUAGUACGAGAGGACCGGAGUGGACGCAUCACUGGUGUUCGGGUUGUCAUGCCAAUGGCACUGCCCGGUAGCUAAAUGCGGAAGAGAUAAGUGCUGAAAGCAUCUAAGCACGAAACUUGCCCCGAGAUGAGUUCUCCCUGAGACUUUAAGUCUCCUGAAGGAACGUUAAAGACGAUGACGUUGAUAGGCCGGGUGUGUAAGCGCAGCGAUGCGUUGAGCUAACCGGUACUAAUGAACCGUGAGGCUUAACCUU
rnacentral:rRNA from 1 species